rnacentral:rRNA from 1 species
GAUGAACGCUGGCGGCGUGCCUAAUACAUGCCAGUCGAGCGAACAGACGAGGAGCUUGCUCCUCUGACGUUAGCGGCGGACGGGUGAGUAACACGUGGAUAACCUACCUAUAAGACUGGGAUAACUUCGGGAAACCGGAGCUAAUACCGGAUAAUAUAUUGAACCGCAUGGUUCAAUAGUGAAAGACGGUUUUGCUGUCACUUAUAGAUGGAUCCGCGCCGCAUUAGCUAGUUGGUAAGGUAACGGCUUACCAAGGCAACGAUGCGUAGCCGACCGGAGGGGGUGAUCGGCCACACUGGAACUGAGACACGGUCCAGACUCCUACGGGAGGCAGCAGUAGGGAAUCUUCCGCAAUAGGCGAAAGCCUGACGGAGCAACGCCGCGUGAGUGAUGAAGGUCUUCGGAUCGUAAAACUCUGUUAUUAGGGAAGAACAAAUGUGUAAGUAACUAUGCACGUCUUGACGGUACCUAAUCAGAAAGCCACGGCUAACUACGUG